UUCGAGGAGAUGACAGGUGGGUUAUGAUAAGGCUUUGUCAAGGUCAGAGCCCGUGUGGGCAUCGGGUCUGCGCUCCCGAGGAUGCAAAAUUCUUCUUUUUAGAGCAGAUGAGGAUCCUCCCAUCCAUUCUGUUACCAAAGAAACUACCAUUCUGUCAGCAUUUGGUAUACUUCAGAGACUUUGCCAGUUGUAAGGAGGACAGAAAUUAAUAACGUUUGUACAGAAUGGAGAGAAGAGCAAAGAAAGCCUAAUAAAACCAAGUGCGUGCUGGGGUGUGGGUGGGGCAGAUCCUACAUUUGCUGGACCAGGUGUAAAUGAUGAGAGUUUUGGAAAAGGGCCUGGACCAGUGUAUCUUUAAAAGAGAUCUUGGACAUGGGACUGAUGUCCUGACUGGAUGUGAGUCCAUAGGGGUAAAGGGACUGUUCUCUGAAGUCAGGAAGUGAGUAAAGGGCAUCGUUUCCCUGGCUCCUUGCAUUUGAGCAGGACCACGUGACUUUGGGUCAAUGUCAGGUGCUGGUGAUUGUGCACCACAGGAAACAGGUGAACUCUGGGAAGACUGGCCAAUUUGUAAAAGGAAACAAAAGGGAAUAAGGAGUCUACUGUGGAUGAAAAUCUGACCUUUAAUCCACACAUUUCAGAGAUGAGACUUUAGAGAACCCCUAAUCUGAUUCAGGUUCUGAAAGUGAAGGGGAGAUCCAAGCACGGCCUUUCCACCCAAGCUCCGUAUCCUUGAGGAAAGCAUCUUGGAGUGGAGACUGAGGAGGGGCCGUGGGAACAAGAUGGCAAAGACGUAGUUCUAGGAGCAACACGGAGUCCUCUGUGGACGCCUGGCCUGCCUGGAAGCAGACACUCCGCGAGCCUCCUGAGUUUGAGGGAGUUCCCCGUCAGUGAAACCAGGACCCUCAGUGUAUCUUUCAGAGAUCUUGGACAUGGGACUGAUGUCCUACUGGAUGCGAGUCCAUAGGGGUGAAGGGACCGUUUUCUGAAGACAGGAACGCUGCAUCAGCUAAAUGCCUGGGUGCCGAUGCUCACUGUGUGACUGUGACUUGCCGUCCCUGAGUUGGGCUGGAACCUCCUGGAGGUCAAAUCUGUGAUGACUGCAAAGAAAUUGGAGCUACAGAGUUGGCACAGAUAAAUCUCUGAACCGUAAUUUUGGAAGAGAAAAGGUUUAAAGAGAAUGCAUACAUUGCAGCACCA